AACGUAGGUACCGAGCGUUAUCCGGAUUUACUGGGCGUAAGGCGCGUGCAGGCGGCUUGGCAAGUCGGGCAUGAAAUCUCUCGGCUCAACCGGGAGGGGUUGUCCGAUACUGCUGGGCUUGAGGGCAGUAGAGGGUGGUGGAAUUCCGGGUGUAGUGGUGAAAUGCGUAGAGAUCCGGAGGAACACCAGUGGCGAAGGCGGCCACCUGGACUGCACCUGACGCUCAAGCGCGAAAGCUAGGGGAGCGAACGGG
rnacentral:misc_RNA from 1 species